rnacentral:sRNA from 1 species
UUGGCGCGGGAGUUUCGAGCUUCGGCUCGACUCUCCCACCCUUUGUGAACGUACCUCUGUUGCUUUGGCGGCUUCGGCCGCCAAAGGACCUUCAAACUCCAGUCAGUAAACGCAGACGUCUGAUAAACAAGUUAAUAAACUAAAACUUUCAACAACGGAUCUCUUGGUUCUGGCAUCGAUGAAGAACGCAGCGAAAUGCGAUAAGUAAUGUGAAUUGCAGAAUUCAGUGAAUCAUCGAAUCUUUGAACGCACAUUGCGCCCCUUGGUAUUCCGGGGGGCAUGCCUGUUCGAGCGUCAUUACAACCCUCAAGCUCUGCUUGGAAUUGGGCACCGUCCUCACUGCGGACGCGCCUCAAAGACCUCGGCGGUGGCUGUUCAGCCCUCAAGCGUAGUAGAAUACACCUCGCUUUGGAGCGGUUGGCGUCGCCCGCCGGACGAACCUUCUGAACUUCAAGGUUGACCUCGGAUCAGGUAGGGAUACCCGCUGAACUUAAGCAUAUCAUAAACCCGGAGGAAACCCUUCUCCCACCCCUUAAGCGCCCCCACUCCUCACCUCUCAAUCCGGUCGUACUCCCCUCCCCAGCGCUUGCCGCAUUAUCUCCGCCUAUACUUGCACUCAUCCUUCUCUGCCUGCACUACCACGGUCUCCUCUCCUGUUCCACGCUCGCCCAUCACAGACCCGCCAGGACGCCCUGGCUGCCCAACACCCUCGGCCCAAUUUCACCACCUACACCAGGACUACCCCCCCAAAGCUCUCCACCACGACCCCGCUUCCAACCCGUCGUGCCUACUCAACCUCCCACAAUCCAACCCUUCUGCCUCUCUAACUAUUCCUGUAACACCUCCUCCGUAUAUACUCCGUCGGG